rnacentral:misc_RNA from 1 species
GAUGAAGAACGCAGCGAAAUGCGAUAAGUAGUGUGAAUUGCAGAAUUCAGUGAAUCAUCGAAUCUUUGAACGCACAUUGCGCCCUUUGGUAUUCCUUAGGGCAUGCCUGUUCGAGCGUCAUUUGAAACCUCAAGCUCAGCUUGGUGUUGGGUGUCUGUCCCCGCCUCCGCGGGGACUCGCCUCAAAAUCAUUGGCGGCCGGUACGUUGGCUUCGAGCGCAGCAGAAACGCGAACUAGAGGCCCGGCGGAUCGGCGACCAGAAGUCUCUUCUUCACAGUUUGACCUCGGAUCAGGUAGGGAUACCCGCUGAACUUAAGCAUAUCAAUAAGCGGAGGA